GAUGAACGCUAGCGGCAGGCCUAAUACAUGCAAGUCGAACGGGAUGCAGAUCAAAUCUUGCCUUGGUUUGGUGAGAGUGGCGCACGGGUGCGUAACGCGUGAGCAACCUACCCUUGUCAGGGGGAUAGCCCGGCCAAAGUCUGAUUAAUACCGCAUGACAUCAUUGAGAGGCAUCUUUCGAUGAUCCAAUAUUUAUCGGACAAGUAUGUGCUCGCGUGACAUUAGCUAGUUGGUAAGGUAACGGCUUACCAAGGCUACGAUGUCUAGGGGCUCUGAGAGGAGAAUCCCCCACACUGGUACUGAGACACGGACCAGACUGGUACGGGAGGCAGCAGUAAGGUAUACUAGUCGAUGGAGGGUAGUCUGAACCAGCCGUGCCGCGUGCAGAAAGACGGCCCUAUGGGUUGUAAACUGCUUUUAUACGGGAACAGACGUCGGUACGAGUACCGGUCUGAGUGUACCGUAAGAAUAAGGAACGGCUAACUCCGUG
rnacentral:rRNA from 1 species